GCUCUUGGUUAGCUCAGUUGGUAGAGCGCUCCACUGUAAAUGGAGAGGUCCCUGGCUCGAUACCAGGACCAGGCG
rnacentral:tRNA from 1 species